AUGCGCUUUCUCCUUUAAAUUUGUUAGCUCUAGUGUAGCCAAUAAACCUUUGGAAUUUGUACUUUCUAUAUCUACUGACAAAAUCUGUUUCCCUAUUAGAUACAUUUCAUUGAUGAUCUUAGUAGAUUUUCUUUUGAAAAGCUCUUUUUUUUUGUACUUUUUGUUUUUUAAUGGAAAAGCAUUUCAUUGAUGAUGUUAGUAGAUUUACAUGGUAUUUUUCCUUGGUAUGCAAUUAGUGUUUGUUCAAAGAUUUAAAUUGAACAGUGAGAAUAUGUUUUGCAUAAUCAAAAGUAUUCAAACUAAUGGUGGCAGUUAAUACAUGAAGUUCAAAACCUUUCUUGAAAUACAUGGCAUUAUUCUCUGCUUCUCUGUUCCUGCCUCAUUAAUUCUCUGUGGUGACCAAUGCCCCAAUCCCACCUGUUACGCCAUUCAAUGCUAUUUUUGUUUUUUAAGUUUUUCUCUUUAACCAGGUAUUUUCUCAAACACAUUAAAUCUUUUCGAUUCUCUUUUUUAUUAUCAAUUUCUUUAAGGUUCUGGCUAUGGAUUUUUUAAUUCGGUUAUGGCUAUGUACUGACUCAUCCUCUUUACGUGGCACUAGUGUACAUCCGCACUAUCCAAAUUGUAGGGUCCCAUUGUGAAUGGAGUAUAUCUCUAAAAUCACAAUAAUCACCAAUUAAUGUGUAUUAAAUGGAUGGUUAAAAGUAAAAUAGUAAGUGGUAUAAAUUCAAAGGAAAAAACAAAUGCAAGGGCAUUUUCACACUGGGCUCGAGUGGGAUGGCCUAUUAGAUGCAGGGGCACUUGGGAUGGGCAGCCCAUGUGAAGCAAGUAGCUUGUGUGAGUCAAGCUCCACCCGUGUGAGGCAGGUAGCUCGUGUGAGGUGAAACCCAUAUGAUGUGGGGCCCAUGAGGGGUUCGACCAAUGACCUAACUGAUGGGGUGUGGAGCCCGGGCUAUGAGAUACAAUGAUUGAUUCACCACGCUCUAUCAGUUUGAGCUUUUAGAGCAAGCGACUACUUGUCCUACAUUAAAGUGAUAUAUUGUGGGUGAUUAAUGCAUGAACAUUUUCAUACAGGGCUCAAAUGAGGUGGCUUGUGAGAUGCAGGGGUACACCGGUGGUGAGCGGUCUGUGUGAGGUAGGUGGCUCGUGCGAGUCAGGCCCCACCCGUGUGAGGCGGGGUGCUAUACUACUAUGCAACGCAUACAAUUGAAGGUUCACCAACAUUUGUUAAAUGAACAUCGGUAGGGGAGAUUACUGCUGCAUGACUCAAAGAAAGUCGAUUUCUAUCAUCCAGAGGCAACCCCAAAUUUCUUGCAUUUAACAUCAAAGUCUUGUCAUCCAACAAUGUGGACGGUUCAUCAUGUGCUUCCUCGCUUUUAAUUUCCUGUCUCCAUUAAAUCUGUGGACUCUAGUUCCUUUUUAUGUUAUAUUUGUACCCAAUAAACCUUUGGAAUUUGUACUUUCUAUAUCUAGUGACGAACUCUGUUUUACAGUUGGAUAUAAUGAAUGAUGUUAAUAGAUUUUUAUUGGGAAA